UUUCCGUAGGUGAACCUGCGGAAGGAUCAUUUCCGAACAAAAAACAAAUUACAAACCAACAAUGUGAACCGUUUUGGGUUUUUUCUUACUCUCCGAUUGACAGCUGCCCUUUUUUCGUUUUCGUUUUCUUCUUCUUCGGGGGAGGGGAAUGGGGACAGAAAAAGCGGUUUCUUUUUUUUCGGGGAGGCCAUUAUGAACUACCUUGUCACAAAGGUUGAUUACUAUCGUUCUUGCUUAUUUUUCUUCUUCGGAAUGAAAAUCUCAAUGAUACGACAACUUUUAACGGUGGAUCUCUUGGCUCGU
rnacentral:misc_RNA from 1 species